UAGUAGUUCGAUGGACUGAGAAGUGAAGAACGAGGAGUUGGUUAUGAAUCUGGUAAAAGGAACAAGGAUGUUGCGGAAGGAUAAUAACCCAUAUGGGGCACAGCCCUAAUCCUCACAAUGGCAGAAGAGGAGAUAGUUCUUAUUUGAAAGAGCGUCGUGAACACGAAAGUGGCUUGCCUGCAAUUCCCAUGUGUACGGGCGAUAGAGGGGUUCGGAUGAACCAGAGUACACCUACA
ncrna:unclassified sequences Clostridiales-3 RNA